rnacentral:rRNA from 1 species
CCAGACUCCUACGGGAGGCAGCAGUGGGGAAUAUUGCACAAUGGGGGAAACCCUGAUGCAGCAACGCCGCGUGAGUGAUGACGGCCUUCGGGUUGUAAAGCUCUGUCUUCAGGGACGAUAAUGACGGUACCUGAGGAGGAAGCCACGGCUAACUACGUGCCAGCAGCCGCGGUAAUACGUAGGGAGCGAGCGUUGUCCGGAAUUACUGGGUGUAAAGGGAGCGUAGGCGGGCGAGAAAGUUGAAUGUUAAAUCUACCGGCUUAACUGGUAGCUGCGUUCAAAACUUCUUGUCUUGAGUGAAGUAGAGGCAGGCGGAAUUCCUAGUGUAGCGGUGAAAUGCGUAGAUAUUAGGAGGAACACCAGUGGCGAAGGCGGCCUGCUGGGCUUUAACUGACGCUGAGGCUCGAAAGCGUGGGGAGCAAACAGGAUUAGAUACCCGAGUA